GAUGAACGCUGGCGGCGUGCCUAAUACAUGCAAGUCGAGCGAAGCGGGGACGGGUGAGUAACAUGUGGAUAACCUCCUAUAAGACUGGGAAAACUUCGGGAAAACGGAGCUAAACCGGAUAAUUAUAGAUGGAUCCGGGCGGCAUUAGCUAGUUGGUAGGGUAACGGCUUACCCAGGCAACGAUGCAUAGCCGACCUGAGAGGAUGAUCAGCCACACUGGAACUGAGACACGGUCCAGACUCCUACGGGAGGCAGCAGUGGGGAAUCUUCCACAAUGGGCGCAAGCCUGACGCAGCAACGCCGCGUGAAUGAUGAAGGUCUUCGGAUCGUAAAGCUCUGUUAUUAGGGAGGCGGUACCUAAUCAGAAAGCACCGGCUAACUCCGUGCCAGCAGCCGCGGUAAUUC
rnacentral:rRNA from 1 species